rnacentral:rRNA from 1 species
GAACGGGUGCGUAACACGUGGAUACCUUCCUUCAGGGUGGGGAAUAACCCAGUGAAAAUUGGGCUAAUACCGCAUAACAUGACGAUGCCACAUGGUGUUGUCUUCAAAGGCGCAAGUCGCCAGAAGAGGGAUCCGCGGCCGAUUAGUUAGUUGGCGGGGUAAUGGCCCACCAAGACAGUGAUCGGUACCCGGCCUGAGAGGGCGCACGGACACACUGGAACUGAAACACGGUCCAGACUCCUACGGGAGGCAGCAGUGGGGAAUUUUGCGCAAUGGGGGAAACCCUGACGCAGCAACGCCGCGUGGAGGAUGAAGUCCUUCGGGACGUAAACUCCUUUCGAUCGGGACGAUUAUGACGGUACCGGAAGAAGAAGCCCCGGCUAACUUCGUGCCAGCAGCCGCGGUAAUACGAGGGGGGCGAGCGUUGUUCGGAAUUAUUGGGCGUAAAGGGUGCGUAGGCGGUUUGGUAAGUCUUAUGUGAAAUCUAUGGGCUCAAUCAUAGACUGCAUGAGAAACUGCCGGGCUUGAGUGUGGGAAAGGUGAGUGGAAUUUCCGGUGUAGCGGUGAAAUGCGUAAGAUUCGGAAAG